GGAAGACAUUGAACAUUUUAUGUAAUUAUUUUCCAGUGGUUUCCAACGAACUAAUUUUUAAUCACGAAUGUUUCAGUUUAGUUUAUGAUAAGUUAUAAUUAUUAUUUUAACUUGAAACAAAGUCAAUGGAGUUGUCAGUAAAAAGCAAAGAAUACUAUGGACUUAUACUGUCGGAUUUUGAGGGAAAGAAAAACAGUUAAUUACUAAGACUUUCGAUUUGCUUGUCAUAUAUUUUUUCUUUGUUAAUUUACACAUACGUGUGAUAUAUUUCUUGUUGGCUUAACAGAAAGGCGUUGACUGUGUAAGCACUGAGUGAAGCUGCCCUCAGCGAAGUUUAGUCGCUUUUUGUCCGUUUAAAGUAGGGUGAAGACAUUAGCUUAGCAGCAACUACUAACUAGGAGUAAAAUGUAAUAAGAAGCAAGUGAAGCAACAAAUAAACAACAACCAAAAGCUCGUCUAACAAAUAAGCUUAAAAAAAAUAUUACCGAAUUUAAAUUCACUUCUCGUUUGCAGCCAUAUUUUUUAAAAAUAAAGUUUAAGCUGAAGGAAAUAAUGUUGGACCUAGAAACAGCUUUUUCAUCAUUGACUAACAUUUUAGUGUUGAACAAGAAAGGGUAUAAAUAUGAUCUGUGAGUGCCGUAGUUUUUCCCGCUUUUGUUGUUUGUUGUGGGUGUCGAAGCGCAUGAUGGCUGAAAGCAUGUAAGAGUGUGUAUUGUGAGCUUAAAGUACGAGAAACUGGGUUAAUAAUGUCAUUUGCUGCACUGGAGGGCACAACAGCGAUGUUGGGUUGGUAACAACACCACGAACAUGAGCCCUGAGCGUUUGGGCAUUAGAAUUUAAAGCGUUCCAUUUAACAUCGAAUGCCAUAAGAGCAACCUCUAUUGCAAGUUUUCCGGCUGUCAUGGGAAUUUCCCAUUUGCUUGUUUCUAUUAGAGUGCGAAUUUUGCAAAUAUAUGCUGGCAUUUAUCAUUACCAUUAUCGUUAUUCAGUUAGAUAAGUUUAAAAUGUAUAUUGUUAAGAGAAGUAAACAAUUUUGGGACCAUUUUUAUCUGACGAAAGCGAUUAGCGCAAAUAAACAAUCCGCAGCUCGCAAAUCACUUAGCUAUUUUGAGCUCAUACAAACAGCAUGAUAAGUCAUCGUAACUUGAAGAGAACCGUCUCUGUACUGAAUCUUUUUGUAUAUUUUAAUGACUCAUUCAAAUAUCACUCAGCACGUUUUCACUGUUGUAAAACAAUCAUAAAUUUGUUAUCUAACGAUGAAAAUAAAAAAAACAGAAAUAUAAAUUCUCUUGAUGAUAAUGCAUGCGUCACAUUAACUUUUGAAUGCUUUUUGAAGAUCUCCAUCAGGUAGUCCUUUCUAGGUUUGAGUGUUAAAGCUUCUGCUUGCAAAAACAAAAUUUCAAUUAAAUACAUUCAUAAAUUUAUGAAGGCAGCACAGUAACAAACGGCUCAGUUUGACCCAGCAAGCCCCAAAGCAUUUUUCAUAGUCAAAAGCAAUGAAUAACCUAGAAAAAGGGUUUGUGGUAGAUGAAUUCCUCACAUCCUUCCAUUUCACCCACUUAUUUCACCCAUCCCGCCCAGGCACAUGUGCAAUUUUUCACAUAUGGCACAUAUGCAAAUAUCAAUACUGUUGCCAUUGCCAUAUAUGUAUGUAUAAACCAGAAACUGGGUUAUGCGCAAACUGAGAAAUCCACUCUGAAUAUUUGUAAUACCCAAAUUUUGUAGCAAUUCGUUGAGCUUUGUUGAUCCGUAGUCCCUAUAUUUUCCUUUUACAAUACAUUUCAAUACUGUAUGAAAUGUGUUUUUAAGUCUUCGUUCAAGUAAAGAUACAUACAUAGCCGCACAUGUAAGCAUCGUAACUGUACGUCACAGUAAGAUUUAAUGCAUGAAAUAAAUUUCAAUUCAUCUGCUUUACCAAAUAUUUUUAUAUUAGUUUCGGCGCUAAUCAUUAACUCGACAUCACACUAAUCGUGCGUUUAGGUUUUAAAUUUAACCGAAUAAAUUAUGGCGUAUUUCAAAAUUCACGUUAUUAAAUUUUAAUGACAUAAAUGUCGUUUCAUCGAUAGCUUUAUUUAAAUAAUAAAUCAGGGAAUUUACGCUGAAUUUGAAAAAAGAAAAAUAGCCCACUUCUGUAUGCCGCUUUUUCUGUUUUCAAUUUUCACAAGACACUCAUUUCUAAAUUGUUAAUGAGUCUGUCGGCGUUUAGCAAGUUUCCAGUUGCCAGUGCCCGACUGAGCGUGUUAGCUAAGCCAUGACAGCUAGACCCCAAACUCCGAUUCGGUGCCAUCAUCCCGGUUUAUAUGGGGAUUUUGUUCAUACAUAAAUAAGGAAUCCAUUAUCAAAUGGCGUUGCUAAUAUAGCUACAGUGCCAGCAAAAACCACAGCAGCUGGGUAGCUGGGUAACCAUGCCUAUGACGAUGGCAACGCCAACAAAAAGGCAUAAAAAACCAUAGACAAUGCGAGGAGCGCAGUACAAAAGUUGCGCCUGCCUUUUUCGCAUUCAACUUACUUUGGAGUUGGAAAAAAAAUAUACUCUAUAUAUAUAUGCAUAUUCGUACAUACUUCUGAUUUAUAAGCACGCUCUUUUGCACACAAGCCCUGCACAUUUAUAAUGAGCAUAUUGCCAAAGCAGAACUAAGGAAUAAAGCAAAGGAAAUGAACACCAGAACUGCGAUUGAACAGUGGGCUCAACAUUGUAUUAUUAUAUGUAUACUAUUAUGUUAUACUUUAUAAUUUGUAUUAUGUAUUAUGUGAUAAAUACAAAUACUGAAUAAAUGAGCUGAUUUCCUUUUUUCGGUGGCUUAGGGAGCACUUUGCUCACUCUUGGUGAAUGCCGGAUUUUCGUGCCCACUGUAGGGAAAACAGUUCGAAACUUUUUCAUUAUGCUGAUGGUUCUUCCUCCUGCCCGACUGCUCUACGUACCAGGUAACUUCCAGCCUGAGUACCCCCACGAGUUUCAACAGGCAAGCCCGGCCCAAAGCUGUCUAAAAUUUGAAAAAAAAAAAAAAAAAUUAAAAGAAAAAAAAACUAUAAACCGUAGUUGGGAAUUGCCGUCGUCUGGAAGUUGGCAAACGGUUUGUGACGAUGACGACAGCGCCGACACUAGCAAUUAAAAAUUUUCCACAAAAAGUUGCAGGCAGCCAGCGACGCCCACUUUUGGCACUGAAUUUUGUGGCAGCAACACAGGAGCAGGGCAGCCACAAACUUAUUAAUUUAACAAUUACAAAAUAAAUUGUGAGUGCGCCAAUUAAUUUGCGGUCGGUAAAGAUACACACAAAAGAGGGUAAAAGCCGGGCACAAUUCGGUAGGAAGAUGAAAAAGUCGUCAGCAUCAUUAAGUGACAUUUGUGUUACUUUCCAUUGACGUUAAUUGGUAAGGAGCUCGUCUGGAGUCUGGAGCCUGGUGUAGGCCGGGUUUGCCUGGUUGCCAGGAAAAACAUUUCAAAGAGGUUGGGAAAACUCCUAUUAACUGAGAGUCUGCCAUAAUUGCUUUGAUUGUUUGCCAAAAAUGUCCAAUAGACGUGAGGAGAUGAGAGGAAAAUGCUGGAAAAUAGAAAGACAAGUGCCAAGUCUGCUCAAGCUUUCAAAGACUCGCCAAAAUUCCUUUUUCCCAUUUUACAUUAAACCCACCUUAAGCUUUAACUACCUUAUCAAAGACAAA